AUUGAACGCUGGCGGCAGGCCUAACACAUGCAAGUCGAGCGGGGUUCUCGGACCUAGCGGCGGACGGGUGAGUAAUGCGUAGGAAGCUGCCCGAUAGAGGGGGAUACCAGUUGGAAACGACUGUUAAUACCGCAUAAUGUCUACGGACCAAAGUGUGGGACCUUCGGGCCACAUGCUAUCGGAUGCGCCUACGUGGGAUU
rnacentral:rRNA from 1 species